rnacentral:lncRNA from 1 species
AAUAAAUAUUUUGAACCCCUUUUGUGUCUUGUAUUCAUAGGAGUUCAGAUAGACCACUUUAUUUACUAUUUUUUAUAGAGAGUGAACAGAAAUCCCAUUUCUAGUCACCAGUCCUUAAUCUGUAAAUCAGGCAGAUAAUCUGUAAAUGAUUGGUUGAAAUCACAUUGAAUUCCACUUUGUGCCAGGGACUUAAGUUAACGAACAAAUUAUUCUUACAAAAAGGUAUAAAUGUAAGGUUUUCAUUCUGCUAAAUAUGUUUGUCAAACUGUGUUGUGAUUUGUUCUCAGUGUGUCAUAGCUACCAUAGCUUUUGGAAUGGGCAUUAAUAAAGCUGACAUUCGCCAAGUCAUUCAUUACGGUGCUCCUAAGGACAUGGAAUCAUAUUAUCAGGAGAUUGGUAGAGCUGGUCGUGAUGGACUUCAAAGUUCUUGUCACGUCCUCUGGGCUCCUGCAGACAUUAACUUAAAUAGGCACCUUCUUACUGAGAUACGUAAUGAGAAGUUUCGAUUAUACAAAUUAAAGAUGAUGGCAAAGAUGGAAAAAUAUCUUCAUUCUAGCAGAUGUAGGAGACAAAUCAUCUUGUCUCAUUUUGAGGACAAACAAGUACAAAAAGCCUCCUUGGGAAUUAUG